GACGUAGGGCGCGAGCGUUGUCCGGAUUCAUUGGGCGUAAAGAGCUCGUAGGCGGCUCAUUGCGUCGUGCGUGAAAAUCCGCCGCUCAACGGUGGACUGGCGCACGAUACGGGUGGGCUGGAGUUCGGUAGGGGAGACUGGAAUUCCUGGUGUAGCGGUGAAAUGCGCAGAUAUCAGGAGGAACACCGGUGGCGAAGGCGGUCUCUGGGCCGAUACUGACGCUGAGGAGCGAAAGCGUGGGGAGCGAACAGG
rnacentral:rRNA from 1 species